GUGAUGAAAAUGCAAAUUGUACAAAUGUAGAUGGUUCGUAUGAAUGUACCUGCCAUGAGGGCUAUGAAGGAAACGGCAAAAAUUGUACAGAUUUCAAUAAGUGCGAAGACAAUCCUUGCCAUGUGAAUGCAAAUUGCACCACUGUUAAUGGAUGGUAUGAAUGUAACUGUCACGAGGGAUAUGAAGGCAAUGGCACCAGCUGCACAGAUAUCAAUGAAUGCGAAACAAAUCCUUGUGAUGAAAAUGCAAAUUGUACAAAUGUAGAUGGUUCGUAUGAAUGUACCUGCCAUGAGGGCUAUGAAGGAAA